rnacentral:lncRNA from 12 species
GCCGACGGAUAUUGUUUUGCGUUUUUUUUCCUUGUUUGGAGUCCAGCGUUUCCCCUCGCUGUAGAACCCCCCAAGUCUUCGGGCUGCCGGUCAGAGCCUGCCACGGGGAUCCGCCAGAGCCGGGUUGCCCUGGGUGCGUGACUCUGCCCCUCGCCCAUCCCGGCCGAGGACAGGAGGGAUAGGACGGUGAAUGAAACUCCUGAUCCUCCACUCACUAAGUCAGCGCUUCUCUGCCCGGUCCCCAGCUGAAAGGCGGCGGAGUGUCCCCAGCCCCGCCGCUGAGCGUGUCGGCGAUCACCUUAAGGAGGGGCUGGGGCUGUCCCGGCGCUCAGGCCACCGCCGCACCCCCUCCCGCGCCUGCCAUCGGGCCGUGAACUUUCCGGUGGGGUAUGUUCUCCUUUAAGAAAGCGAACUGUUCCUUAUGCAUAUUUAAGGCUGUUUGUCUGCAGUGCCCAGCUGACACGGGGCUGGAGGCUCACACGCGGGACCGAGCUCUGGAGGAGUAAAUCAUCCCCACUUUAAACGCACCCUCUGCCAGGGCUCCAGUUGGGAGCUCCUUCCCAUUGCUCUAAACACAUGUAAGUCAGAAAGGGGGAGGGGGGGGACCUGGGGAGACGGAAGGGGGAGACUGAGCCUAUUUAGUGAGAUGAGUAGGGAAUUUUGGUAAUUUCCAUCACCAACAUCCACCCUCCACCAAAAAAAAAAAAAAAAGGCAAAAGCCCCUGUCCUUGGAUUUCAAAAAACAGUUCAAAACAAUUUAUUAGUACUAUUAUUAUUAUUUUUCGCCCAGCCUAGGGGUUCCUGCCUCCCUCAGCACUCCUGCAUCCCUAAGAUCAGUGAGUUCUCCAGACUUCCUCCCUCUUUCUGCCCUGCACGAGAGCGCUUUGCUGGGUGCGCGUGUGAGGAGCGGAGAGGAGCGCCGGGAGGGAGAUUGGGACAAUAGCUGGAGUGGAUUAUUCAUUCCCGUAGGCAAUACUUCCCUGUAUGGGCUUCAGGAUGCAGUUGGAAGCUUGGGAACAAAGCGGGCAUCGAAUGUCAAGGCUCCUUUUGAGGAAGAAAUAGUUCUGCUGGAACCCCAUGCCUGGACUUUGGAGGGCAUGGCGCAGUGGUCUGAUAUGAAAGCACUGUCCCUGCAGAUGGGAACUCGCCUCUGUAUCCUGUGCCUUGCAAGAAAGGCAGCGAGGGGACACUUGAAGUAACCAAGCAUCUGGCAUCAAGCCUGACAAUCCACUUCACACUAUGUGAAGGAAAGUUUGUUCCAAACCACAUACUUUGUGGUGCUCAAUACUGGUGUCAAACUGGUCUGAACUGUCCCAGGUCUAAAAUAAAAUCUCCAUUGUGGUAUGGAACAGUGAACUUGUCUUGCUAAACCUUCCCUGUUUAUGUUGAAGGUACAGAGCUGAUGUAAUGUCUUUUCACCCACGGAUGGACGCAAUAGGAACAAUUCAGAAAAGUUCUGUUUAGCUUUCUUCCCCUUGUAGCUGAAAAAAAUGCAAGCUAUAAGAAAC